rnacentral:misc_RNA from 1 species
CAAGCAUUCAGGUUGCUUUGUCUAGAAAGUCCCCUUAUGUGCAAACUGCUCAUAGGGUUAGUGGUCUCAUGCUGGCCAGCCAUACAGGUAUCCGCCACUUAUUCAGCAAGUGUUUGACCCAGUAUGAUAAAUUGAGAAAGAGACAAGCUUUCCUUGACAAUUAUAGGAAUCACCCAACGUUUGCCGACAAUGAUCUAUCCGAGUUUGACGAAUCUAGAGAUGUGAUUGAAAGUCUUGUUGAUGAGUACAAGGCUUGCGAGUCCCCAGAUUACAUCAAAUGGGG